GUCUCUAUAGCGCAAUGGAUAGCGUGUUGGACUUCUAAUCCAAAUGUCGUGGGUUGGAAUCCUACCUGGGAUG